AGCCUUCUGUAUCCGUGCUGAGAUUUCGUCACACAUCAGAACAAAAGAGUCAAUGAGAUUACCAAGAUGAGUGAAGCG
rfam:Schistosoma mattheei strain Denwood, Zambia genome assembly, scaffold: SMTD_scaffold0005148